CGGCAGCGCGGUUUUAACCGUGAGGAAAGUCCGGGCAUCACAGGACAGGAUAACUGCUAACAGCAGCCGGAGGCGACUCCAGGGCAAGUGCAACAGAAAGAAACCGCCGCGUCUGCGGUAAGGAUGGAAAGGCGAGGUAAGAGCUCACCGGCGUAUGCGAGAGUAUACGGCCAUGUAAACCCUAUCCGAUGCAACACCGAUUGGGAUGGAUUCGUUGGUCCGACGGUCCCGACGGGUGGCGAAGAGCGCGCAGGGCGACCUGCCGCCAAGAUAGAUUGCCGUACGCGACAGAACCCGGCUUACAGAUCUGCUCAU
rnacentral:RNase_P_RNA from 1 species